UGCCAGCCGCCGCGGUAAUACGGAGGGAGCUAGCGUUAUUCGGAAUUACUGGGCGUAAAGCGCGCGUAGGCGGUUUAUUAAGUCAGAUGUGAAAGCCCGGGGCUCAACCCCGGAACUGCAUUUGAAACUGGUAAACUAGAAUUCGGUAGAGGAUGGUGGAAUUCCUAGUGUAGAGGUGAAAUUCGUAGAUCUCUGGAGGAACACCAAACGCGAAGGCAUUCUGCUGGUCAUUACCUGACGCUGAGGGACGAAAGCGUGGGGAGCGAACGGGAUUAGAUA
rnacentral:rRNA from 1 species